UGUGUUCACGGGUGUAAGUUGCUUUGGAUAAAAGCAUCUGCUAAAUGCAUAAUG
rfam:Danio rerio chromosome 5, GRCz11 reference primary assembly.